GACGAACCGUGCGAACGUUGUUCGGAUUCACUGGGCUUAAAGGGCGCGUAGGCGGCUUCUCAAGUCCGGGGUGAAAGCUUUCGGCUCAACCGGAAAAGUGCCUUGGAUACUGGGAAGCUCGAGGGAGGUAGGGGCAGGCGGAACUUCCGGUGGAGCGGUGAAAUGCGUUGAUAUCGGAAGGAACGCCGGUGGCGAAAGCGGCCUGCUGGACCUCUACUGACGCUGAGGCGCGAAAGCCAGGGGAGCAAACGGG
rnacentral:rRNA from 1 species